rnacentral:rRNA from 1 species
GUCUAUGACCAUGCCACCCUGAACGCACCCAGUCUUGUCUGAUCUCAGAAGCUAAGCAGUGUCGGGCCUGGUUAGUUCUUGGAUGGGAGAUCACCUAGGAAUACCGGGUGCUACAAGUU